rnacentral:rRNA from 1 species
GUCGAACGCUGGCGGCGUGCUUAACACAUGCAAGUCGAACGAUGAAGCCGGAGCUUGCUCUGGUGAAUUAGUGGCGAACGGGUGAGUAACACGUGAGUAACCUGCCCUUGACUCUGGGAUAACUGCUAGAAAUGGUAGCUAAUACCGGAUACGACCCUCGGCGGCAUCGCCAGGGGGUGGAAAGAAUUUCGGUCAAGGAUGGACUCGCGGCGUAUCAGCUAGUUGGUGAGGUAACGGCUCACCAAGGCGACGACGGGUAGCCGGCCUGAGAGGGUGACCGGCCACACUGGGACUGAGACACGGCCCAGACUCCUACGGGAGGCAGCAGUGGGGAAUAUUGCACAAUGGGCGCAAGCCUGAUGCAGCAACGCCGCGUGAGGGAUGACGGCCUUCGGGUUGUAAACCUCUUUUAGUAGGGAAGAAGCGAAAGUGACGGUACCUGCAGAAAAAGCACCGGCUAACUACGUGCCAGCAGCCGCCGCAG